AAAACCAUCAAGCACUCUUUGCUUGGACUUGGUAGAUGAGUGCCUACGGUCCUCACUGCCGAAAUUGAAUGGCGGAUAGCCUUGGGGUGCCCCAGCGUAGUAAGUCUUCUUUCGCUUGGAACCCAAAGACGGUCCUGCCCUCAACCCCCACAUCUUAU
rnacentral:misc_RNA from 1 species